UACGUAGGCGGAAAAUUAAGUCAGUGGUGAAAUCCUGCAGCUUAACUGUAGAACUGUCAUUGAUACUGGUUUUCUUGAAUACAGUUGAGGUAGGCGGAAUGUGUAAUGUAGCGGUGAAAUGCUUAGAUAUUACACAGAACACCGAUUGCGAAGGCAGCUUACUAAGCUAUGAUUGACGCUGAGGUACGAAAGCGUGGGGAGCGAACAGGAUUAGAUACCCUGGUAGUCC
rnacentral:rRNA from 1 species